rnacentral:rRNA from 1 species
UAACGCGUGGGUAACCUGGCCCAUACAGGGGGAUAACACUUAGAAAUAGGUGCUAAUACCGCAUAACAACAGAAAGCGCAUGCUUUUUGUUUGAAAACCAAGGUGGUAUGGGAUGGACCCGCGUCUGAUUAGCUGGUUGGCGGGGUAAAGGCCCACCAAGGCGACGAUCAGUAGCCGGCCUGAGAGGGUGGACGGCCACAUUGGGACUGAGACACGGCCCAAACUCCUACGGGAGGCAGCGGUGGGGAAUAUUGCACAAUGGGGGAAACCCUGAUGCAGCGACGCCGCGUGAGUGAAGAAGUAAUUCGUUAUGUAAAGCUCUAUCAGCAGGGAAGAAAAUGACGGUACCUGAGUAAGAAGCCCCGGCUAACUACGUGCCAGCAGCCGCGGUAAUACGUAGGGGGCAAGCGUUAUCCGGAUUUACUGGGUGUAAAGGGAGCGUAGACGGCAGUGCAAGUCUGGAGUGAAGGGCGGGGGCUCAACCCCCGGACUGCUCUGGAAACUGUACGGCUGGAGUGCAGGAGAGGUAAGUGGAAUUCCUAGUGUAGCGGUGAAAUGCGUAGAUAUUAGGAGGAACACCAGUGGCGAAGGCGGCUUACUGGACUGUAACUGACGUUGAGGCUCGAAAGCGUGGGGAGCAAACAGGAUUAGAUACCCUGGUAGUCCACGCCGUAAACGAUGAUCACUAGGUGU